AGGGAAAAACAUGGAACACGGAAGCCACCAGACAAGAAAGGAAACACUCGAAAUGAGAAAACGCAAACCACUCGCGCUCGCCGGCAUCGGCCUGACCGCCAUCACCAUGUUCCUGCUCACACCGGUAUUCCUCCUCGCGCUCGCAGGAUGCGGGAGCGCGUCCAAGACAUCGACCCCGGCCCACGCCAUCGCCGCCACCGGCACCACAUGCUCCAAAAUGUCCAGCGACAACAUCAAGGAAUGCAUCGUCACACUGUCCGACACGAGGAAAGUGGACUGUGUCGUCUACUCGGGCUACAAGCAGGGCGGCCUGUCAUGCGACUGGAGCCAUGUGAGCGUCGUGGAGACGGAGCCGGAGCGAUGAGCUACGGGGAAAUCUGUGAGCGGUACGUCAUCUGCGACGAGUGCCACACAAGACUUUUCGUCGGUGAUGCGGCCGAAGAGGAAGCCGACGACGAGGCCGCCGACCACGGCUGGCAAUGUGACGAGGACUCAGACAGGCACUACUGCCCUUCUCACUGGCAUGUCGAAUGUUAUGACUGCCAGGCCGCCGAUAGUGGCGCGCCGGACGAACUCGAACAGCAGGGAUGGCGUAUCGAUCGCGACUAUCCGUGGGACAGCCUCUGUCCGAACCACCAUCAUCUCUCAUGCCGCGAAUGCUUCAAGUCGGACAUCGGACCAUUGCACCGGCUCGAAUACGAGGGAUGGCAGAACCGGUUAAUAUUCCGGUACUACCUGUGGGAGUGACGUGGAGACGGAGUCGUGACAGCGCCGCGGACUGACGGAAUAGUCCGUUGAAGGGUGUAGAUGCUGAUUGUUCCAGGCAAAUCCGGAGCAAGAGUCGAACCUGACAGUAUGGAGCGUUCUUAGAACAAUCCAAUAGUGCGUGUAAUCAUACUUCCAAGAAAAUCCGCUAAACUUAAUCCUGCAGGUACCCGUACCGCAAACGGACACACGUAGUCGGGAUGAAUAUUCUAAGGCGCUUGAGUGAUUCACGGUUAAGGAACUAGGCAAACUGACCCUGUAACUUCGGGAUAAAGGGUCCCUACCCUUUUAUGGGAGGGCGCAGAGAAUCGGUCCAGGCAACUGUUUAACAAAAACACAGGGCUGUGCCAAAUCGAAAGAUCCAGUAUACAGCCUGACACCUGCCCGGUGCUGGAAGGUUAAGAGGAGAUGUCAUCGAUAAGAGAAGCGUUGAAUUGAAGCCCCAGUAAACGGCGGCCGUAACUAUAACGGUCCUAAGGUAGCGAAAUUCCUUGUCGGGUAAGUUCCGACCCGCACGAAUGGUGUAACGAUCUGGACGCUGUCUCAACUGCCCACCCGGCGAAAUUGUAGUACCGGUGAAGAUGCCGGUUACCCGCGGCAAGACGGAAAGACCCCAUGGAGCUUUACUGUAACUUGAUAUUGGGUCUUGGUAUUCUAUGUACAGGAUAGGCGGGAGACUGAGAAACAUACACGCCAGUGUAUGCGGAGUCACCCUUGGGAUACCGCUCUUAGAGUACUGAGAUUCUAACCUGCGGCCGUGAAUCCGGUCGGGGGACAUUGUCAGGUGGGCAGUUUGACUGGGGCGGUCGCCUCCUAAAAGGUAACGGAGGCGCUCAAAGGUUAGCUCAGCACGGUCGGAAACCGUGCCUCUGAGUGUAAACGCAAAAGCUAGCCUAACUGCGAGGCUGACGGGCCGAGCAGUAACGAAAGUUGGAGUUAGUGAUCCGGCGGUAUGUGAAUGGAAAUGCCGUCGCUCAACGGAUAAAAGCUACCCUGGGGAUAACAGGCUGAUCUCCCCCAAGAGUCCACAUCGACGGGGAGGUUUGGCACCUCGAUGUCGGCUCAUCACAUCCUGGGGCUGAAUUCGGUCCCAAGGGUUCGGCUGUUCGCCGAUUAAAGUGGUACGCGAGCUGGGUUCAGAACGUCGUGAGACAGUUCGGUCCCUAUCUGUCGUGGGCGCAGGAUAUUUGAAAGGAGCUGUCCCUAGUACGAGAGGACCGGGAUGGACGCACCUCUGGUGCACCAGUUGUCACGCCAGUGGCACAGCUGGGCAGCUAUGUGCGGAACGGAUAAACGCUGAAAGCAUCUAAGCGUGAAGCCGACUCCAAGAUUAGAUAUCCCAUCGUAUAACGAGUAAGACCCCUUGAAGACUACGAGGUUGAUAGGCUGCGUGUGUAAGUGCCGUGAGGCAUUCAGCUUGGCAGUACUAAUAGACCGAGGGCUUGAACU
rnacentral:rRNA from 1 species